rnacentral:miRNA from 1 species
UCCGCGCCUGGAGUCCGCCUCG